AGCCACACUGGGACUGAGACACGGCCCAGACUCCUACGGGAGGCAGCAGUGGGGAAUAUUGCACAAUGGGCGCAAGCCUGAUGCAGCGACGCCGCGUGAGGGAUGACGGCCUUCGGGUUGUAAACCUCUUUCAGCAGGGAAGAAGCCACAAGUGACGGUACCUGCAGAAGAAGCGCCGGCUAACUACGUGCCAGCAGCCGCGGUAAUACGUAGGGCGCAAGCGUUGUCCGGAAUUAUUGGGCGUAAAGAGCUCGUAGGCGGUUUGUCGCGUCUGCUGUGAAAGCCCGGGGCUUAACCCCGGGUGUGCAGUGGGUACGGGCAGACUAGAGUGCAGUAGGGGAGACUGGAAUUCCUGGUGUAGCGGUGGAAUGCGCAGAUAUCAGGAGGAACACCGAUGGCGAAGGCAGGUCUCUGGGCUGUU
rnacentral:rRNA from 1 species